AACGAACGCUGGCGGCGUGGCUAAGACAUGCAAGUCGAACGAUACGUUGUAGCAAUAUAGCGUAGAGUGGCGAACGGGUGAGUAAUACAUGGGUAACGUGCCUCGAUCUCAGGGAUAGCGUCGAGCCCCGCAAGGGGCUCUUUGCGAAAGUGACGGUAAUACCUGAUGACGCCCACGGAGGGCAUCCUCUGUGGCUCAAAGGCGGGGACCGCAAGGCCUGCGGAUUGAGAUCGGCCCAUGACCUAUCAGCUAGUUGGUGAGGUAAUGGCUCACCAAGGCUGCGACGGGUAGCCGGACUGAGAGGUUGGCCGGCCACAUCGGGACUGAGACACUGCCCGGACACCUAUGGGUGCUGCAGUAACGAAUCUUCCGCAAUGGGCGCAAGCCUGACGGAGCGACGCCGCGUGGAGGAAGAAGGUCUUCGGAUUGUAAACCCUGUCGAAUGGGACGAAAGACUCGCGAGCUAAUACUGCGCGAGA
rnacentral:rRNA from 1 species